rnacentral:lncRNA from 1 species
GCCUGCUUAAAAGUAUAUUCAGGCACGUUAGUGUGAUCUAGCAUCCAUCAGUAAAGUCUUUUAUAGCACUACUAGUUUACAGGGACCAUACGUCAAUUGUGGAGAAGAUAAUCGGUUGAAGGCGCUUGAUAUCGAAAGUGGGUAUGACCACGUCUGUUAACGUGUUUUCCAUGGUGAGAUUGCCCAAUAGUCUCUUUAUCAACGAGUGCAAGUACUUGCCAUCGUACUUUGGUCCUCCCAACAAAUUUGUAAGCGAUUUUACCACGUCCUUGCGGCUUGAUUGAUUACACAAACGUUCAACAAUAAAAUAGAGGCAGAAAUUUUUUUUUUUUCUUUUGAAAGGAAUCUGAAUUUCGAGGAACUAAAAAGUUUUGGUCUUACUAAGUUUUUGGUUAUCUUGUAUACCUGCUCUCGGGAAAGAUCUGGGGGGAGUUUUGCAAGUAGAAGCUGGUUAUGUCUUUGGCAGCGUAAAGAGGGCGGCUGUCCUUAUUUGGGGCAGUGAGCAUGGUGGUGACAAGCCCACCUGUGCUAGUCCCUGCAACUACAUCAAAGUAAUCUGCGAUUCUUGCAUUCGGUCCAUCGAGUUCCUACCAAACAGUCAAGUAUGACGUACUUUUAAGUACUACUACAAACUUAGAUUGGUUGUAAAUGGGGUUUUAUGUUGUAUACUUAAAAAUUCAAAACAUGAUUAUCUGAAAUACCUGAAGUUUGGCUUCCAGGAAAGCAAGAAUGGUGCCGGGAAUGAUGCCUCUGAUACCCCCUCCGUCUAUGCUUAGAACUGUAGCCAACCUUCCUUUAGUUAUAGCAUCUGUCAAAGGAGGUUGUAGGAGGUUGAAGGUUGUUAAU